rnacentral:rRNA from 1 species
AUAACAUCCGGAAACGGGUGCUAAUACCGCAUAGUUUUCUUGAUCGCAUGAUUGAGAAAGGAAAGACGGCCUUUGUGCCUGUCGCGUUAUGGAUGGACCCGCGGCGUAUUAGUUAGUUGGUGAGGUAACGGCUCACCAAGACGAUGAUACGUAGCCGACCUGAGAGGGUGAUCGGCCACAUUGGGACUGAGACACGGCCCAAACUCCUACGGGAGGCAGCAGUAGGGAAUCUUCCGCAAUGGACGAAAGUCUGACGGAGCAACGCCGCGUGAGUGAAGAAAAGGGUUUUCGGAUCGUAAAACUCUGUUGUCAGAGAAGAACAAGUUGGAGAGUAACUGCUCCAGCCUUGACGGUAUCUGACCAGAAAGCCACGGCUAACUACGUGCCAGCAGCGGC